rnacentral:rRNA from 1 species
AUUGAACGCUGGCGGCAUGCUUUACACAUGCAAGUCGGACGGCAGCGGGGAGUGCUUGCACUCUGCCGGCGAGUGGCGAACGGGUGAGUAAUGCAUCGGAACGUACCGAGUAAUGGGGGAUAACUGUCCGAAAGGACAGCUAAUACCGCAUACGCCCUGAGGGGAAAGCGGGGGAUCUUAGGACCUCGCGUUAUUCGAGCGGCCGAUGUCUGAUUAGCUAGUUGGUGGGGUAAAGGCCUACCAAGGCGACGAUCAGUAGCGGGUCUGAGAGGACGAUCCGCCACACUGGGACUGAGACACGGCCCAG